rnacentral:rRNA from 1 species
UACGUAGGGUCCGAGCGUUGUCCGGAAUUAUUGGGCGUAAAGAGCUCGUAGGCGGUUUGUCGCGUCUGCUGUGAAAUCCCGAGGCUCAACCUCGGGCCUGCAGUGGGUACGGGCAGACUAGAGUGCGGUAGGGGAGAUUGGAAUUCCUGGUGUAGCGGUGAAAUGCGCAGAUAUCAGGAGGAACACCGGUGGCGAAGGCGGGUCUCUGGGCCGAAACUGACGCUGAGGAGCGAAAGCGUGGGGAGCGAACAGG